UACAGAGGUCUCGAGCGUUAGGCGGAAUCACUGGGCUUAAAGCGUGUGUAGGUGGAUCGUUAAGUACCUUGUGAAAUUCCACGGCUUAACCGUGGAACUGCUUGGUAUACUGGCGGUCUUGAGCCAGCUAGGGGCUACCGGAACAAAUGGUGGAGCGGUGAAAUGCGUAGAUAUCAUUUGGAACGCCAAUGGUGAAAACAGGUAGCUGGGGCUGUGCUGACACUGAGACACGAAAGCCAGGGGAGCAAACGGG
rnacentral:rRNA from 1 species